rnacentral:rRNA from 1 species
GGCUAACUCCGUGCCAGCAGCCGCGGUAAUACGGAGGGUGCAAGCGUUAAUCGGAAUUACUGGGCGUAAAGCGCACGCAGGCGGUCUGUCAAGUCGGAUGUGAAAUCCCCGGGCUCAACCUGGGAACUGCAUUCGAAACUGGCAGGCUAGAGUCUUGUAGAGGGGGGUAGAAUUCCAGGUGUAGCGGUGAAAUGCGUAGAGAUCUGGAGGAAUACCGGUGGCGAAGGCGGCCCCCUGGACAAAGACUGACGCUCAGGUGCGAAAGCGUGGGGAG